CCAAUAGCGUAUAUUUAAGUUGUUGCAGUUAAAAAGCUCGUAGUUGAAUUUCGGGGUUAGUAGGCUGGUCGUGCCACCGGUACGUACUGGUCUUACUGAUUCCUCCUUCCUGAUGAACUGUAAUGCCAUUAAUUUGGUGUUGCAGGGAAUCUGGACUGUUACUUUGAAAAAAUUAGAGUGUUUAAAGCAGGCUAACGCUUGAAUACAUUAGCAUGGAAUAAUGAAAUAGGACGUUCGAUCCUAUUUUGUUGGUUUCUAGGAUUGACGUAAUGAUUAAUAGGGAUAGUUGGGGGCAUUAGUAUUCAAUUGUCAGAGGUGAAAUUCUUGGAUUUAUUGAAGACUAACUACUGCGAAAGCAUUUGCCAAGGAUGUUUUCAUUAAUCAAGAACGAAAGUUAGGGGAUCGAAGACGAUCAGAUACCGUCGUAGUCUUAACCAUAAACUAUGCCGACUAGGGAUCGGAUGAUGUUAAUUUUUUAAUGACUCAUUCGGCGCCUUACG
rnacentral:rRNA from 1 species